CUGCCCAAGAGACUGGGAUAACACCUGGAAACAGAUGCUAAUACCGGAUAACAACACUAGACGCAUGUCUAGAGUUUGAAAGAUGGUUCUGCUAUCACUCUUGGAUGGACCUGCGGUGCAUUAGCUAGUUGGUAAGGUAACGGCUUACCAAGGCAAUGAUGCAUAGCCGAGUUGAGAGACUGAUCGGCCACAUUGGGACUGAGACACGGCCCAAACUCCUACGGGAGGCAGCAGUAGGGAAUCUUCCACAAUGGACGAAAGUCUGAUGGAGCAACGCCGCGUGAGUGAAGAAGGGUUUCGGCUCGUAAAGCUCUGUCGGUAGUGAAGAAAGAUAGAGGUAGUAACUGGCCUUUAUUUGACGGUAAUUACUUAAAAAGUCACGGCUAACUACGUGCCAGCAGCCGCGGUAAUACGUAGGUGGCAAGCGUUGUCCGGAUUUAUUGGGCGUAAAGCGAGUGCAGGCGGUUCAAUAAGUCUGAUGUGAAAGCCUUCGGCUCAACCGGAGAAUUGCAUCAGAAACUGUUGAACUUGAGUGCAGAAGAGGAGAGUGGAACUCCAUGUGUAGCGGUGGAAUGCGUAGAUAUAUGGAAGAACACCAGUGGCGAAGGCGGCUCUCUGGUCUGCAACUGACGCUGAGGCUCGAAAGCAUGGGUAGCGAACAGGAUUAGAUACCCUGGUAGUCCAUGCCGUAAAC
rnacentral:rRNA from 1 species